AGUUGGCGGAUGAGUUGUGGCUAGGGGAGAAAUUCCAAUCGAACACGGAGAUAGCUGGUUCUCCCCGAAAUAGCUUUAGGGCUAGCGUCGAGGUAAAGUCGUGUGAAGGUAGAGCACUGAAUAUGUGAUGGCCCCAUCUCGGGGUACUGAACAUAAUCAAACUCCGAAUGUCACAAAGAUAUACUCGGCAGUCAGACAGUGGGUGAUAAGGUCCAUUGUCAAAAGGGAAACAGCCCAGACCAUCAGCUAAGGUCCCAAAAUAUAUACUAAGUGGAAAAGGAUGUGGAGAUGUCCAGACAACUAGGAGGUUGGCUCAGAAGCAGCCAUCCUUUAAAGAGUGCGUAACAGCUCACUAGUCGAAUGACUCUGCGCCGAUAAUUUACCGGGGCUAAGUAUAUUACCGAAGCUAUGGAUUUACGCGUAAGCGUGAGUGGUAGGGGAGCGUUCUAUGUGCGGAGAAGCGGUACCGUAAGGAGCCGUGGAGCGCAUAGAAGAGAGAAUGCCGGUGUGAGUAGCGAAACGUGGGUGAGAAUCCCACGCACCGAAAACCCAAGGUUUCCAGAGGAAGGUUCGUCCGCUCUGGGUAAGUCGGGACCUAAGGCGAGGCCGAGAGGCGUAGUCGAUGGACAACAGGUAGAGAUUCCUGUACUUACGGUAUGAAUGAUGGAGUGACGGAGAAGGCUAGCGGAUCCUGCUGAUGGAAAUGCAGGUGCAAGCGAGGUAGCCGACAGCCAGGCAAAUCCGGCUGUCGAAAGGCAAAGGCGUGAGGCGUAUGGAAAGCUGCGGCAAGUACAGAAGUCCGUGAAGCCAGCUUCCAAGAAAAGCUUCUAGUGAUAAUCAUACAGUAACCCGUACCGAAAAUGGACACACAUGGGUGAGGAGAGAAUCCUAAGGUGAGCGAGAGAACUAUAGCUAAGGAACUCUGCAAAAUGACUCCGUAACUUAGGGAUAAGGAGUGCUCAUAGAGAUAUGAGCCGCAGUGAAACGGCCCAAGCGACUGUUUACCAAAAACACAGCUCUAUGCUAAGUCGAAAGACGACGUAUAUGGGGUGACGCCUGCCCGGUGCUGGAAGGUUAAGAGGAUGUGUCAGCGCAAGCGAAGCAUUGAAUUGAAGCCCCAGUAAACGGCGGCCGUAACUAUAACGGUCCUAAGGUAGCGAAAUUCCUUGUCAGGUAAGUUCUGACCCGCACGAAAGGCGUAACGAUUUGGGCGCUGUCUCAGCUGUAGACUCGGUGAAGUCUUAGUACCUGUGAAGAUGCAGGUUACCCGCGACUAGACGGAAAGACCCCAUGGAGCUUUACUGUAGCUUGAUAUUGGACUUUGAUGCAAGAUGUACAGGAUAGGUAGGAGACUGAGAGACAUGCACGCCAGUGUGUGAGGAGUCAAUGUUGGGAUACUACUCUUCUUGUAUUGGAGUUCUAACCGGAUGCCAUGGAACUGGCAACGGGACAGUGUCAGGUGGGCAGUUUGACUGGGGCGGUCGCCUCCCAAAGAGUAACGGAGGCGCCCAAAGAUACCCUCAGCUUGGAUGGAAAUCAAGCGCAGAGUGCAAAGGCAUAAGGGUGUUUGACUGCGAGACCUACAAGUCGAGCAGGGACGAAAGUCGGGCUUAGUGAUCCGGCGGUGCUGAAUGGAAAGGCCGUCGCUCAACGGAUAAAAGCUACCCUGGGGAUAACAGGCUGAUCUCCCCCAAGAGUUCACAUCGACGGGGAGGUUUGGCACCUCGAUGUCGGCUCAUCGCAUCCUGGAGCUGAAGUCGGUUCCAAGGGUUGGGCUGUUCGCCCAUUAAAGCGGUACGCGAGCUGGGUUCAGAACGU
rnacentral:rRNA from 1 species